UACGUAGGGUGCGAGCGUUAAUCGGAAUUACUGGGCGUAAAGUGUGCGCAGGCGGUCGUUCAAGUCGAGUGUGAAAGCCCCCGGCUCAACUGGGGAGGGUCAUUCGAUACUGAUCGACUGGAAGGCAGGAGAGGGAAGCGGAAUUCCCGGUGUAGUGGUGAAAUGCGUAGAUAUCGGGAGGAACACCAGUGGCGAAGGCGGCUUCCUGGCCUGUUCUUGACGCUGAGGCGCGAAAGCUAGGGGAGCAAACGGG
rnacentral:rRNA from 1 species